rnacentral:rRNA from 1 species
AUUGAACGCUGGCGGAAUGCUUUACACAUGCAAGUCGAACGGCAGCACGGGGGCAACCCUGGUGGCGAGUGGCGAACGGGUGAGUAAUACAUCGGAACGUGCCCGGUCGUGGGGGAUAACGUAGCGAAAGUUACGCUAAUACCGCAUACGAUCUGAGGAUGAAAGCGGGGGACCUUCGGGCCUCGCGCGAUCGGAGCGGCCGAUGUCAGAUUAGGUAGUUGGUGGGGUAAAGGCCUACCAAGCCGACGAUCUGUAGCUGGUCUGAGAGGACGACCAGCCACACUGGGACUGAGACACGGCCCAGACUCCUACGGGAGGCAGCAGUGGGGAAUUUUGGACAAAGGGCGCAAGCCUGAUCCAGCCAUUCCGCGUGCAGGACGAAGGCCUUCGGGUUGUAAACUGCUUUUGUAUGGAACGAAAAGGCUCUGGCUAAUACCUGGGGCUCAUGACGGUACCGUAAGAAUAAGCACCGGCUAACUACGCG